rnacentral:lncRNA from 10 species
AAUGAAGAAAAGCAAGACAGGACAACAGCCCAACUAGGAGCAACACGGAGCCAGGGGACCCUCCCCAACCCAGGGAAGUGGUCCUCUACGCCUGGGCCUCCAGCCACCCCCCAUCCCCACCAGAGCUAUUGAGCCAGUACCAACUCAGCAACUCCCUGGAAAGAGCCUCCAAUGUCAACUGAAAGCUUCUCAGCCACUGCCUCUGCAGUGGAACUGCUCUUGCCACCCUCAGACUAAUGAAGGAGCAAAGGCCCUUCUCCACACCUCCAACAAGCUGCAGUUGACCCAAGGAGAGAAGGCCAGUUAUUUCCCAUGGGUCCCACACACACCCCAUGGCUCACCACCAGACAGGUUUCUCCUUGCUUGGGCCCACAGCACAAACCCUCCAUCUUGGGCUGACUGCACUGAGUGACUGCUGACCUGCAUAUCUCUGAGGUGGAACCCCCGGAGUCAAGCAAACUACCUUUGGCCACAACUACUGCUAAAAUUUCUUCCUCUGCUACCUCUAAGCUGGAAAGGGAACAUAAAUACUGUAAUCACCCCAGCGCUGCAAUGGGCAGCCCAGGAGUGCCAAGUUGCGAACUAUAGCCAGCAAUCAAGGGGGAGAGAAACCCACACUUUCAGAGCACCAAGAGGGAACAAGGCUGCAACUGAGAGGAAACAAAGGGGAGCCACACAACCAAACAAGAGUCUACCAGCUGACCUAUAAGCCUAAGUGUCACCUGCUGGAUAACACCUCAAAGCUUCAACAUCAAAAAUACCUCACUAACAUACCCCGCUCUGAAACCAGAAACAAGAGGUCAGCUUCAAAUUAAGACUGUACACAUAGCCUCAGCCAAAUGAAAACAUUCAGAAAAGAAGCCUACUGACUGUACUCAAUCCCCACGGCAGUUAAAGGAUCACCCACAUGCUGAUGUGAGAAAAAAACAAUGCAAGAACUCUGGUAACUCAAAUGUCCAGGGUGUCAUAUGUCCUCCAAAUGACCACACCAGUUCUCCAACAAGAGUUCUUAGCCAGGUCGAACUGGCUGGAUUGACAGAAAUAGA